rnacentral:sRNA from 1 species
AGGCAUCUGAGGCCAGUGAGGAUGAGAACCUCCGGGGCAGGAGGUUCGACUCGAGCGAAGCGAGAGAACGUUGUGUCAGCAACGGCCCGCAGGGCGAGCCACGAAGUGGUGAGUCAUCCUCUAUCACCGACAC